UGGUUGGAAAUAAUUUGUACGUUUUUUUUCUUAUUUUCUUCGAUCUGGUUGGCAUUUGACAAACGCCAAUCCACCCCCUUGGGCCGGGUUAUUGUUUGUUGUAUAAUUGGGCUGGUAGUGGGCCUUCUCGUGUUCAUAUCGACGACAGUGACAGCUCAGAAAGGGUAUGCUGGGGUUGGGAUGAACCCAGCAAGGUGUCUAGGCCCAGCACUUAUUAGAGGUGGUCAUCUAUGGAGUGGGCAUUGGGUAUUUUGGGUUGGGCCUAUUAUUUCUUGUAUAGCAUUUGGGGUUUACGUCAAGAUAAUUCCAG
rnacentral:lncRNA from 1 species